GCUUGUCUCAAAGAUUAAGCCAUGCAUGUCUAAGUGUAAAUACGUCUACACUGUGAAACUGCGAAUGGCUCAUUAAAUCAGUUAUCGUUUAUUUGAUGAUCUCUUGUUACAUGGAUAACCGUAGUAAUUCUAGAGCUAAUACAUGCGUCAAGCCCCGACUCACGAAGGGGUGUAUUUAUUAGAUAACAAACCAAUAUUCCUCGUGUCUAUUGUGAUGACUCAUAAUAACUGAUCGAAUCGCAUGGGCCUUGCCCGCGAUACAUCAUUCAAGUUUCUGCCCCAUCAGCUUUCGAUGGUAGUGUAUUGGACUACCAUGGCUUUAACGGGUAACGGAGGAUUAGGGUUCGAUUCCGGAGAGGGAGCCUGAGAAACGGCUACCACAUCUAAGGAAGGCAGCAGG
rnacentral:rRNA from 1 species